UACGUAGGAGGCGAGCGUUGUCCGGAUUUACUGGGCGUAAAGAGCGCGCAGGCGGUCGUUCAAGUCGCGUGUGAAAGCCCCCGGCUCAACUGGGGAGGGUCACGCGAUACUGAUCGACUCGAAGGCAGGAGAGGGUAGUGGAAUUCCCCGGUGUAGUGGUGAAAUGCGUAGAUAUCGGGAGGAACACCAGUGGCGAAGGCGACUACCUGGCCUGUUCUUGACGCUGAGGCGCGAAAGCUAGGGGAGCAAACGGG
rnacentral:rRNA from 1 species